rnacentral:rRNA from 1 species
AUUGAACGCUGGCGGCAGGCCUAACACAUGCAAGUCGAGCGGAUGAAGGGAGCUUGCUCCUGGAUUCAGCGGCGGGCGGGUGAGUAAUGCCUAGGAAUCUGCCUGGUAGUGGGGGAUAACGUCCGGAAACGGGCGCUAAUACCGCAUACGUCCUGAGGGAGAAAGUGGGGGAUCUUCGGACCUCACGCUAUCAGAUGAGCCUAGGUCGGAUUAGCUAGUUGGUGGGGUAAAGGCCUACCAAGGCGACGAUCCGUAACUGGUCUGAGAGGAUGAUCAGUCACACUGGAGCUGAGACACGGUCCAUGCUCCUACGGGAGGCAGCAGUGGGGAAUAUUGGACAAUGGGCGAAAGCCUUGUCCAGCCAGGCCGCGUGUGUGAAGAAGGUCUUCGGAUUGUAAAGCACUUUAAGUUGGGGGGAAGGGCAGUAAGUUAAUACCUUGCUGUUUUGACGUUACCAACAGAAUAAGCACCGGCUAACUUCGUG